CUGGCGGAUAGCCUCGUCCGGAUUCGGUUUUUUCGGUGACAAGGGUCUGAACGGAGUCCCCGGGUCCUCCUUGGCGUAUCUCCUCGCGGGCCAGCAUGGUGGCACAGCAGUUAAGUUCGCACAUUCUGCGUUGGCAGCCUGGGGUUCGCCGGUUCGGAUCCCGGGUGCGGACAUGGUACCGCUCAUCAAGCCAUGCUGUGCUUACUAGGUACUGCAGAACCAGGGAAAAUAGUACCAAUGAAUGCGAGCAACCUUGUGUUUUCCUGAUCUUAAAGAGAAUACAUCUAAAUUUUUUCCAUUAAGUAAAAAGUUUGCU
rnacentral:lncRNA from 1 species